UCAACUCAGUUGUUAUCUUUCUAUCCACUUGAUUUCGUUCAAUUUCACCUUGUCGAUCGUCAUCAUCUGACUCCGCCGCCGUCCGUCUGAUGCCCUUGACGAACCCUGACAUUCGUCCGACUGCCGCGAUGCUGAUGCGCGCCAGCUCCACUCACCGCACCUGCCAGCGCUUGUCCCUACCACACUUGCCCCUGCUGCGUUCGCCCUGCCUCCUCUCGCACCUCGCUGCAUCCACCGACGGAUACGGCACAACCAGUUCCCAGCAGCGACCUCAUCAAUACGGCGUAUAGAGGAGCUUCUGCUGAUUGCAAUCUGCUUGCGGUGCACUUAUGCCCACACUCAGACCUGACAGCCGGAUCGAGUGCACACGUACUAUUCUUGACAAGCCAUUAGUGCAAGCACUUAUGUUAAUUUCCUACGGAUAGAAGCAGGCUUCGCCAAUGAUCAACUGAUCACGGUCAAUUGGCCACCAUCUUCACAGCAUGCUUUAGGCAGAGCAAAUGUAGUAGAAAUGGAGGAACCUCGCAAAGAAAGAUGUUUGAAGCUAGCGAUUUCUACAUAACGUCAAAAAAGGUAACACAAACAUUGCAGUGCUAAUAUAAGGUAUAUUCUUUUUGUGGUUCUCUACUAUGAUGCUUCUUAUCAUGUUUUACAAAUGUAUGAAGCUUCCACGCAGGUGUAUCAAAGUUCAAGAAUAAUUGCAUUAUAUAUUAUCAGACAUAUGCAAGGUUAAAAUAUGUCCAAUUCAUAUUCUUGUGAAUCGUAUUAUUGUAGUGGAACUCCUGAUACUUCCUGACACUUUCUACUUACUAUAUCUUCUAUUUCGAGCAAAAAGGUAUCACUUGCAUGGGUUCCUUAAAAAGUCAAUCAAAUUAGGAGUAAAUUUAAGAAACAUGAAGAAACUGGAAGAUUGGUCUUAAGACUGGAAGAGAGUGAGAUGUUGUUGUCUUUUCUUGCGUCAUUACACAUAUAGUUGUUCCUAAGCUGAAAGGUUUCCCACAAGGUCUAAAGGAUUUUUAAAGGAUGCCGACCUGGGGCAGAGUCGUGGAGGCCUGGGCUGCGGCAAACACCGCCUAAUUAACUCUUGAUACCAUGUUGGAUAAAUGACAACUUAAUAUUACCAAAGGCCAAAGGCCAUACAUAUACAUGUCCAUGUGGUAGUCCAAAAGAUAGAAUGUAGAAAGCCGAAAGUCAACGUAAGUAUAGUACAUAAUUAUAACUCUAACAGGUAUUACUGCUUGGCACUACUGAAAUUGUUCUAAGUAGUGAGAAACUGAGUGAUAGUCUAAUAGAAAUCGUGUCAGGCUGCUCUUGAAGGACAUGCAAAAUGAACAUAAACAUUUCAAAUAGUUAAUCAAGUGCACAUUUAUCCAUAUCUGAACCCUGUGCUUAUGUUCUUUACUUCUCUUUUACUUGGCAGAUGUCGAAGGCACAGAAGAACAAAUUCAUUGCACAAUCUUGCUCUCCUGAAGUGAGGAAGUUGGUGCUGUAUUACGAGCUUCGGACUAUCCAAAUUCAGAAAUGUCUAGCAAAUUCAGCCACCUGUCAAAGAAGAACAAUACGGAGGUUCUAGCUGAAUAUGCUGAUCAUACAAGAGUACGUUGGCAAUUGCUUACUCCUAAAACCAAAGGUCGUGGUGGUGAUUUUGGAGGUGAGGUAUUCAACGUGACAAAAAGUAGAGAUGCAUGUGUUGUUUUGUGGGGUUUCCUUCGGUUCAGGAAUCAACAUUGUUGAAGAUGGUGAGAGGAACCUUUUCAAAGGGCUGCAGUACUUGGGAUCGCACAGGCGAGCUUUCUCGAGAUCGAUUGUGUUAAAAUAAAGUGGUGUUUUUUUUAUAUUGUGUCAAACCCAAGUCGUGCACAUGUAUAUUCAAAAUGGGUGCUUCUAUCCAAAUCAUUGCACACACAAAUAAGAAAUAGUACUUGGAUUGACAUUUGUAAGCUUUGCAUAUUCAAAAUUUGAAUUUGAGAGAUGUAUUAAAUUUUAAAUUUGAGAUGUGCACAUCAUGUGAACUA